AUGGAGGUGAUGAGAUUCCAGGAGUAGUCGGAGUGACUGGAAAGAUUGGACUGCCUGGAGUACCUGGGUCUAUAGGAGUUGAUGGUGGGCUUCCAUAAGUUGGUGUUAGAGGGGUGCCUGGGUCUAUAGGAGUUGAUGGUGGGCUUAUUGUAGUGGGUGGGCUUCCAUAGGUUGGUGUUGAAGGGGUGCCGGGGUCUAUAGGAGUUGAUGGUGGGCUUAGGGUAGUUGGUGGGCUUCCAUAAGUUGGUGUUGAAGGGGUGCCUGGGUCUAUAGAUGGACUAGUUGGCGGGCUUCCAUAAGUUGGCGGGCUCCCGUAUGUUGGAGUUGAGGGCGUGUCUGGGUCUAUAGACGGACUAGUUGGCGGGCUUAUGGUGCUGGGUGGGGUUGAAGGGGUGCCUGGGUCUAUAGACGGGCUACUUGGCGGGCUAAUGGUGGUGGGUGGCGUUAAAGGGGUGCCUGGGUCUAUAGACGGACUAGUUGGCGGGCUUAUGAUGGUGGGUGGACUGUCUCCAGUUGGAGGUGCAGGGUCAUAGUGUCCUCCACUUGGUGGUGUUCCACAGUUACUUGGUGGUGAGCUUUUGUGGCCAUGCGAACCAUGAGAUGGGGUAUGGUGAGAACCUGAAACGACCAAUUUAAGUGUUAACCACACAACUUUAUAUCUACAAUGCAUGUGUGUGCAAGUGUAUGUUUUGACCAACAAGAAACCUUGUCCUACUGAACAAUUGUAUUGCAGAUUUAGCAACAUACAACUAAAAACCAUAUUGAGUAUCAGAUGUAAAUAUAAGUGCUGAAUAACUGAAAACAGUCAACCAAUAUUUUAGAUACAUAAGAGUUGUAGACUUCUCAAAAUAGCAACAAAAUAAAACACUAGAUAAGAAAAUAGAUACUAGUGAUAGCAUGCCUUUCGGAGGACUUUCAUCUGCAUGUGGGUCUCCUGGGGGGUAAUAGGUCUUCUGAUCUUCGAAACUUGCAG
rnacentral:lncRNA from 1 species